UCUGGUGACGAUGGCGGGGAGGUCACACCUGUUCCCAUGCCGAACACAGUAGUUAAGUUCCCCAGCGCCGAUGGUAGUUGAGACUUUGUCUCUGCGAGAGUAGGACGUUGCCAGGC
rnacentral:rRNA from 1 species